GAGUUUGAUUAUGGCUCAGGAUGAACGCUGGCGGCAUGCCUAACACAUGCAAGUUGAACGAGAAGUUUUGGAGGGAGUCUUCGGACGAACGAAGGAAUGGAAAGUAGCGAACGGGUGAGUAACGCGUGGGCAACCAACCUUACACAGGGGGAUAACGCAGAGAAAUUUGCGCUAAUACCGCAUAAGCGCACAGUAUCACAUGAUACGGUGUGAAAAACUCCGGUGGUGUAAGACGGGCCCGCGUCUGAUUAGCUAGUUGGCAGGGUAAAAGCCUACCAAGGCGACGAUCAGUAGCCGACCUGAGAGGGUGAUCGGCCACAUUGGGACUGAGACACGGCCCAAACUCCUACGGGAGGCAGCAGUGGGGGAUAUUGCACAAUGGAGGAAACUCUGAUGCAGCAAUGCCGCGUGAAGGAAGACGGUUUUCGGAUUGUAAACUUCUAUCAGCAGGGAAGAAAAUGAC
rnacentral:rRNA from 1 species